UACUCCUACGGGAGGCAGCAGUGGGGAAUAUUGCACAAUGGGCGCAAGCCUGAUGCAGCCAUGCCGCGUGUAUGAAGAAGGCCUUAGGGUUGUAAAGUACUUUCAGCGGGGAGGAAGGUGAUAAGGUUAAUACCAAUGUCAAUUGACGUUACCCGCACAAGAAGCACCGGCUAACUCCGUGCCAGCACCGCGGUAAUA
rnacentral:rRNA from 1 species